ACUUAUGUGUAUUAAUUAUUUGAAAAAAUGUCAAAUUGGCCCCCUAAGUCGACUGGAUAGUGCAAUUAGAUCCUCUAACUAAAAAAAGCUCCAUUUAGAUCCCCUAAAACUGUAAAAAUGUUCAAUUAAGUCCAAAG